rnacentral:rRNA from 1 species
GACGAACGCUGGCGGCGUGCUUAACACAUGCAAGUCGAACGGAAAGGCCCUGCUUUUGUGGGGUGCUCGAGUGGCGAACGGGUGAGUAACACGUGAGUAACCUGCCCUUGACUUUGGGAUAACUUCAGGAAACUGGGGCUAAUACCGGAUAGGAGCUCCUGCUGCAUGGUUGGGGUUGGAAAGUUUCGGCGGUUGGGGAUGGACUCGCGGCUUAUCAGCUUGUUGGUGGGGUAGUGGCUUACCAAGGCUUUGACGGGUAGCCGGCCUGAGAGGGUGACCGGCCACAUUGGGACUGAGAUACGGCCCAGACUCCUACGGGAGGCAGCAGUGGGGAAUAGUGCACAAUGGGCGGAAGCCUGAUGCAGCAACGCCGCGUGCGGGAUGACGGCCUUCGGGUUGUAAACCGCUUUCGCCUGUGACGAAGCGUGAGUGACGGUAAUGGGUAAAGAAGCACCGGCUAACUACGUG